rnacentral:rRNA from 1 species
GAUAAACGCUGGCGGCGUGCCUAACACAUGCAAGUCGAACGCCCUUUUGCGCAAGUGAGAGGGAGUGGCGGACGGGUGAGUACCACGUGGGUACCUACCUUGAGGUGAGGAAUACCACCGAGAAAUCGGUGACAAGACCGCAUACGCUCGGGCAACCGAGCAAAGUCAUGCAAAUGACGCCACAAGAUGAGCCUGCGCCUGAUUAGCUGGUUGGUGAGGUAACAGCUCACCAAGGCGACGAUCAGUAGCUGGUCUGAGAGGAUGAUCAGCCACACUGGGAUUGAGAACGGCCCAGACUCCGUACGGGGG